rnacentral:misc_RNA from 1 species
GAUGAAGAACGCAGCGAAAUGCGAUACUUGGUGUGAAUUGCAGAAUCCCGUGAACCAUCGAGUCUUUGAACGCAAGUUGCGCCCGAAGCCAUUAGGCCGAGGGCACGCCUGCCUGGGCGUCACACGUCGUUGCCCCCCCCAUCUACUCCUUCGGGAUUGCGGGGGGCGGAUGAUGGCCUCCCGUGCGCCUCGCCGCGCGGUUGGCAUAAAUGCCAAGUCCUCGGCGACGCACGCCACGACAAUCGGUGGUUGCGAAACCGCGGUUGCCCGUCGUGUGCGGUCGUCGCGCAUCGAGGGCUCGAAAAAAUUGCCGGGUUCCGGCUCGGCUUUCAACGCGACCCCAGGUCAGGCGGGGUUACCCGCUGAAUUUAAGCAUAUCAAUAAGCGGAGGA